UAAGGAAUAUUGGUCAAUGGGCGCAAGCCUGAACCAGCCAUGCCGCGUGCAGGAAGACGGCCCUACGGGUUGUAAACUGCUUUUGCAGGGGAAUAAACCUCUCUACGUGUAGAGAGUUGAAUGUACCUUGAGAAUAAGGAUCGGCUAACUCCGUGCCAGCAGCCGCGGUAAUACGGAGGAUCCAAGCGUUAUCCGGAUUUAUUGGGUUUAAAGGGUGCGUAGGCGGCUUAUUAAGUCAGGGGUGAAAGACGGUAGCUCAACUAUCGCAGUGCCCUUGAUACUGAUGAGCUUGAAUGUACUUGAAGUAGGCGGAAUGUGACAAGUAGCGGUGAAAUGCAUAGAUAUGUCACAGAACACCGAUUGCGAAGGCAGCUUACUAAAGUAUGAUUGACGCUGAGGCACGAAAGCGUGGGGAUCAAACAGGAUUAGAUACCCGGGUAGUCC
rnacentral:rRNA from 1 species